GGCAGGGGACGACCCCCGCCGGGACCCGGGGCUUCGGGACGACCCGC
rnacentral:ncRNA from 1 species